AGAGUUUGAUCCUGGCUCAGGAUGAACGCUAGCGGGAGGCUUAACACAUGCAAGUCGAGGGGUAACAGGGGUAGCAAUACCUGCUGACGACCGGCGUACGGGUGAGUAACGCGUAUGCAACCUGCCCUAUACAGGAGGAUAGCCCGGAGAAAUUCGGAUUAAUACUCCAUGUAGCAUUUUUUUCGCAUGAAUUAGAUGUUAAAGAUUUAUCGGUAUAGGAUGGGCAUGCGUCCCAUUAGCUAGUUGGUGAGGUAACGGCUCACCAAGGCAUCGAUGGGUAUGGGGUCUUAAAGGAUGGUCCCACACACUGGCACUGAGACACGGGCCAGACUCCUACGGGAGGCAGCAGUGAGGAAUAUUGGUCAAUGGGUGAGAGCCUGAACCAGCCAUCCCGCGUGCAGGAUGACGGUCCUAGUGAUUGUAAACUGCUUUUCUAUGAGAUGAAUAAGAAUUACGUGUAGUUCGAUGACCGUAUUAUAGGAAUAAGCAUCGGCUAACUCCGUGCCAGCAGCCGCGGUAAUACGGAGGAUGCAAGCGUUAUCCGGAUUUAUUAGGUUUAAAGGGUGCGUAGGUGGGCGUUUAAGUCAGUGGUUAAAGCCAUUAGCUUAACUAAUGUAUGCCAUUGAUACUGGAUGUCUUGAAUGUGGUAGAGGUAGGCGGAAUGUGUUGUGUAGCGGUGAAAUGCUUAGAUAUAACACAGAACACCGAUUGCGAAGGCAGCUUACUAUUCCAUUAUUGACGCUGAUGCACGAAAGCGUGGGGAUCAAACAGGAUUAGAUACCCUGGUAGUCCACGCUGUAAACUAUGAUCACUCGUUUUUGGCGAUAUAUAGUCAGAGACUGAGCGAAAGCAUUAAGUGAUCCACCUGGGGAGUACGUUCGCAAGAAUGAAACUCAAAGGAAUUGACGGGGGCCCGCACAAGCGGAGGAACAUGUGGUUUAAUUCGAUGAUACGCGAGGAACCUUACCUGGGCUUAAAUGUAUAGUGCAUAAUGUGGAAACACAUUUUUCCUUCGGGACUCUUUACAAGGUGCUGCAUGGUUGUCGUCAGCUCGUGCCGUGAGGUGUCGGGUUAAGUCCCAUAACGAGCGCAACCCUCAUCGUUAGUUGCCAACACGUGAAGGUGGGGACUCUAGCGAGACUGCCGGUGUAAACCGUGAGGAAGGUGGGGAUGACGUCAAAUCAGCACGGCCCUUAUGUCCAGGGCUACACACGUGUUACAAUGGCCAAUACAAAGGGCAGCCACCUGGUGACAGGGCGCUAAUCCUCAAAGUUGGUCUUAGUUCGGAUCGGAGUCUGCAACUCGACUCCGUGAAGCUGGAUUCGCUAGUAAUCGUAGAUCAGCCAUGCUACGGUGAAUACGUUCCCGGGCCUUGUACACACCGCCCGUCAAGCCAUGGAAGUUGGGGGUACCUGAAGUCCGUAACCGCGAGGAGCGGCCUAGGGUAAAACCGAUGACUGGGGCUAAGUCGUAACAAGGUAGCCGUACCGGAAGGUGUGGCUG
rnacentral:rRNA from 1 species